rnacentral:rRNA from 1 species
UACGAAGGGGGCGAGGCGUUGUUCGGAUUUAUCUGGGCGUAAAGGGCGCGAGCAGGCGGCUCGAUUUUGUUCAGGCGUGAAAGCCCCGGGCUUAACCUGGGAACUGCGUUUGAUACGGAUGGGCUAGAGUUCGGGAGAGGAGAGUGGAAUUCCCAGUGUAGAGGUGAAAUUCGUAGAUAUUGGGAAGAACACCGGUGGCGAAGGCGGCUCUCUGGACCGAUACUGACGCUGAGGCGCGAAAGCGUGGGGAGCAAACAGGG